rnacentral:rRNA from 1 species
AUUGAACGCUGGCGGCAUGCCUAACACAUGCAAGUCGAACGAGUGGCGGACGGGUGAGUAAUGUCUGGGAAACUGCCUGAUGGAGGGGUAUAACUGCUGGAAACUGUAGCUAAUACCGCAUACCAUCCGAUGUGCCCAGAUGGGAUUAGCUAGUUGGGGGGGUAACGGCUCACCAAGGCGACGAUACAUAGCCGACCUGAGAGGGUGAUCGGCCACACUGGGACUGAGACACGGCCCAGACUCCUACGGGAGGCAGCAGUAGGGAAUCUUCGGCAAUGGACGGAAGUCUGACCGAGCAACGCCGCGUGUAUGAAGAAGGCCGUCGGGUUGUAAAGUACUUUAAGCGGGGAGGCGUUACCCGCAGAAGAAGCACCGGCUAACUCCGUGCCAGCAGCCGCGGUAAUAC